UUAGAAAAUGCUGGUAAUUGCAAAAUUUAGUGAAAUUUUUUAUUGCGGGAAAAUUUGGCGCUCCAAUAUUAUUUCGCUCUAAUAUUAUUUCGCUCUAUAUUUGCUAACUUUACCAUUUGUUUCUAACUUUACCAUUUUGCUAACUAUUGAAGCCUUCGACCAUGAAUCUGUUCUGGCCGUCUCUCAUCUGCUCUAUCUCCAUUUCUCAGCUGCAAGAGCCGUUCUCCUUUACUCUGUCUGUUUCAGCCCUAAUCGGGCCCCCUUUCUUAUAUCGAAGCCUUCACAACGUUUUUCUCUCCUCUACUCUCUCUCUUUCUUCCAACAGUCUUCGACCAUGAAUCUGUUCGUCGAAUAAAGAGACAGGGAGAGAAAGGCAUAUCACAAACUCUCUCUUCGCUGAUCUCCAUAUAUCUGCAGGAGUUGGGCCAGAGGAGUUCAAUUUUUGAAGAGGAUGCCUACGAACAGGCUAGGGAUUUCAAUUUUGUUGAUGUAUUUAUGAAAUUAGAGUUGGGGCUUUGAUGUGUAGUAAAAAAUUGGGGUUAGGGUGGGGUGGCGACGCCGGUGAACCAGGUGUGGCAAGGCAUGAGUUUCAGUGAAGCUCUAGUCUUCCGGCAAGGUAUGAGUUUCAGACAGAGCAACGGUGGCACCGGAGGAGGAGACUCGAGGAUUAAGAAGAGAAAUCCUUGCUGAUGUCGGAGGAGAAGUCCAGAAUUGCCACCGCCAUACAUCCCAGCCCUACACACCUCAAAAGGCCUAGGGUGCGCGCUCUCUCUCUCAACACAACACUAACAUCACCUAACUGUAGGAAAAUAUCACAUGUUCACUGAUUGAUAAGUGAAACAGAAUCGCAAAUCAGGGAAGAGUUCUGAUUUCAAUUCUUGAUGGAGGAGAAGGCUACUGCAAUUCAACAAAGUAACAGGCUUUGUCAGGAACUGGUGUUCACUACAGCAUUAUCUGUUACUAGCAAUUUGGAUGGUCUUUCCAUAUUGGUAGGUUAACUUGUGGUUGCCUAAAUGUAUUACACAUUUGGAUGGUAAUUGUUUUUAUAUAUAAACAUGUUUUAUAAAUGGGUUUCUUUAGGGGAAAGGAAAAAACUAAAAGGAAAAAAAAAAAAAAAAAAAAAAAAUGGGUAAUCACCAGCGUUCAUUAAAUGAGCGGUGGUAAAAACUAAAUUCCAGCGCUUAUUAAAAGAGUGCUGGUAAAGGGUUAAUACGAGCGCUCUUUAAAGAGCGCUGGUAAAGGCUUAUCACUAGUGGUCAUUGAUGAACGCUAGGGAAACGCCUUUUUUUAGACUUUCACCAGCGUUUCUGAGCGCUGAUGAAAGGCAUAACUGGUGUAGUGAUAGUUUGGCUUAUCUUCCUCUCUAGUUAGUAACCCUGAGAUAUUUGUGAUAUUUGUCUGCUUGAACUGUUCGGGAUGUAAACUUCUUUCUACUGAAUGUUAUUGUUGUUAGAAGCAGUGAAGAGGUUGCUUAUUGGGAUUCGGAGCAUGUUACUUCUCUUUUCUAAAAAGGUCAGCCAACUCUGUUGCUCCUUCUCUAGUCCAAGUUCCUUUUCAGUUGAGGAUUUAUGGUACUGUAAAUCUAUAAGUACUCCCAUUUUAUCCUUAAUAAAUACAGCUUAUUUAUCAAUAUAUAUAUAUAUAUAUAU